AGGCCUAACACAUGCAAGUCGAACGGUAGCACAGAGGAGCUUGCUCCUUGGGUGACGAGUGGCGGACGGGUGAGUAAUGUCUGGGAAACUGCCCGAUGGAGGGGGAUAACUACUGGAAACGGUAGCUAAUACCGCAUAACGUCGCAAGACCAAAGAGGGGGACCUUCGGGCCUCUUGCCAUCGGAUGUGCCCAGAUGGGAUUAGCUAGUAGGUGGGGUAACGGCUCACCUAGGCGACGAUCCCUAGCUGGUCUGAGAGGAUGACCAGCCACACUGGAACUGAGACACGGUCCAGACUCCUACGGGAGGCAGCAGUGGGGAAUAUUGCACAAUGGGCGCAAGCCUGAUGCAGCCAUGCCGCGUGUAUGAAGAAGGCCUUCGGGUUGUAAAGUACUUUCAGCG
rnacentral:rRNA from 1 species